rnacentral:rRNA from 1 species
UGGGGAAUAUUGGACAAUGGGCGAAAGCUGAUCCAGCCAUGCCGCGUGUGUGAAGAAGGCCUUUUGGUUGUAAAGCACUUUAAGUGGGGAGGAAAAGCUUAUGGUUAAUACCCAUAAGCCCUGACGUUACCCACAGAAUAAGCACCGGCUAACUCUGUGCCAGCAGCCGCGGUAAUACAGAGGGUGCAAGCGUUAAUCGGAAUUACUGGGCGUAAAGCGCGCGUAGGUGGUUAUUUAAGUCAGAUGUGAAAGCCCCGGGCUUAACCUGGGAACUGCAUCUGAUACUGGAUAACUAGAGUAGGUGAGAGGGGAGUAGAAUUCCAGGUGUAGCGGUGAAAUGCGUAGAGAUCUGGAGGAAUACCGAUGGCGAAGGCAGCUCCCUGGCAUCAUACUGACACUGAGGUGCGAAAGCGUGGGUAGCAAACAGGAUUAGAUACCCUGGUAGUCCACGCCGUAAACGAUGUCUACCAGUCGUUGGGUCUUUUAAAGACUUAGUGACGCAGUUAACGCAAUAAGUAGACCGCCUGGGGAGUACGGCCGCAAGGUUA